CCACUCUCAGCACGAGGAGGUAGUGUCAAAGUGUAUAUACGUCAUUGCUGCGGUUAAAAAGCUCGUAGUUGGAUUUCAGCUCGAUGUCUCGGCCCCCGGCUAGCAAGUUACUUUGAAAAAUUAGCAGUUACUUUGAAAAA
rnacentral:rRNA from 1 species